CGUCCAUGUACAGAGAGUCUGAGACAUGAAACCUAAUUUUUUUUUUCCGCCUCUGCUCUCGAUCUUAGUUUCCAGUACUAAAAUUGAAAGAGUGAUUCGAGAAUUCCAUAGAACUCUGGGAAUUUGAUUUGAUGGUGCAAAGCAAUCGUAAAUCUAAGAACAGAUUUGAAGCAGUUGGCGUAUAAAAGAUCUAUCGGCUACAACAAGAGAUUCACAAAAUGAAUCUGGUAAGACCAAAGGCUUAGGAGAUGACUCUCCUUGAUGAGCAGCGGAAGCAGUGCGAGGCAAAAGUUUUCCCAGUUGAAUGCAGAGAUUGGAGAAUUUGAUGAAACCGUUGAAAGGGAUUUAUCACCGUUUUGUCCAAGAGCUAGAAGCGAACAUUGAAGAACUCAAUCAGAAAAUAUUAGGACUGAAGAAUAAGCAGAUGUCACUGCGAGCUACCUUUCAAAAAGAGUACACAGAUGGAUAACGAGAUUUCCAAAGCAGAGCUUGAUCUUUUGCAAACUGUCCAAGAAAAUGCACACCUCCACUCACAAAUUGUUCAAUCUCCAGACAAAUUUUGCAGGUAUCUUAAUGUUCUUACUAGCACUAGGACAUAC